rnacentral:rRNA from 1 species
GAUGAACGCUGGCGGCGUGCCUAAUACAUGCAAGUCGAGCGAAUGGAUUAAGAGCUUGCUCUUAUGAAGUUAGCGGCGGACGGGUGAGUAACACGUGGGUAACCUGCCCAUAAGACUGGGAUAACUCCGGGAAACCGGGGCUAAUACCGGAUAACAUUUUGAACCGCAUGGUUCGAAAUUGAAAGGCGACUUCGGCUGUCACUUAUGGAUGGACCCGCGUCGCAUUAGCUAGCUGGUGAGGUAACGGCUCACCAAGGCAACGAUGCGUAGCCGACCUGAGAGGGUGAUCGGCCACACUGGGACUGAGACACGGCCCAGACUCCUACGGGAGGCAGCAGUAGGGAAUCUUCCGCAAUGGACGAAAGUCUGACGGAGCAACGCCGCGUGAGUGAUGAAGGCUUUCGGGUCGUAAAACUCUGUUGUUAGGGAAGAACAAGUGCUAGUUGAAUAAGCUGGCACCUUGACGGUACCUAACCAGAAAGCCACGGCUAACUACGUGCCAGCAGCCGCCGUAA